rnacentral:lncRNA from 1 species
UAAGGCCUCUCCCCCCAUCCGGUCUAAAAGAACUGGGCCUUCGACCUUGCUCAUGUCUAGGACGAGGUUCUCUUCCCGUUCCUGACAUGGCUGUGGGGGCACAUUAGGGCGCUGUAAGGCCUCUCCCGCCAUCCGAUCUAAAAGAACCGAGCCUUCGACCUUGUCGGGACGAGGUUUCCCUUUCGUUUUUUAUACAGUUUGUUUGCAUUGUCCAAGGACAUAUAAGUAUGUGAUUUUCAAUUAAAAUAAAGUUACUGGUAGUACAUCCGCAAGUUUUUCGAGCUCCACGAUCGUGGGAGGUCGGCUCCUCCGAGUUCCUUAAGAUAAUAAGUUCCGGGCCGGACUACUUCUUUGACUUCAUAAGGUCCCUCCCAGUUUGGGGCGAGUUUCCCUCGGUCCUGAGGUUGCGAGACAGCGGCUCGUCGAAGCACUAGAUCUCCC